rnacentral:rRNA from 1 species
AUUGGGCGAACUCCUGAUCCAGCCAUGCCGCGUGUGUGAUGAAGGCCUUCGGGUUGUAAGCUCUUUUUUUAGGGAAGAAAAGGUGUUGACUUAUACGUUAUUGUCCUGACGGUACCGUGAGAAAAAGCCCCGGUUACAUAUGAGCCCCCAGCCGCU